AUUGAACGCUGGCGGCAUGCCUUACACAUGCAAGUCGAACGGUAACAGGUCUUCGGAUGCUGACGAGUGGCGAACGGGUGAGUAAUGCAUCGGAACGUGCCUAGUAGUGGGGGAUAACUACUCGAAAGAGUGGCUAAUACCGCAUGAGAUCUACGGAUGAAAGCAGGGGAUCGCAAGACCUUGCGCUACUAGAGCGGCCGAUGGCAGAUUAGGGAGUUGGUGGGAUAAAAGCUUACCAAGCCGACGAUCUGUAGCUGGUCUGAGAGGACGAUCAGCCACACUGGGACUGAGACACGGCCCAGACUCCUACGGGAGGCAGCAGUGGGGAAUUUUGGACAAUGGGCGCAAGCCUGAUCCAGCAAUGCCGCGUGCAGGAUGAAGGCCUUCGGGUUGUAAACUGCUUUUGUACGGAACGAAAAGCCCCGGGUUAAUACCCUGGGGUCAUGACGGUGCCGUAAGAAUAAGCACCGGCUAACUACGUGCCAGCCGCCGCGGUAA
rnacentral:rRNA from 1 species